CGAAUGGGGGAACCCAGUACACAUCAGUGUAUUGCUUGUCAGUGAAUACAUAGCUGGCCGGCGGCAGACGCGGGGAACUGAAACAUCUCAGUACCCGCAGGAAGAGAAAGAAAACUCGAUUCCCAUAGUAGCGGCGAGCGAAGUGGGAAAAGCCCAAACCGAGAAGCUUGCUUCUCGGGGUUGUAGGACUGGACAUUGGAGUUACCAAAGUCCGACGUAGUCGAAGUCAGCUGGAAAGCUGCGCCACAGAAGGUGAAAGCCCUGUAAGCGAAACGUCGAACCCUCCGUCCAGGAUCCUGAGUACGGCGGAACACGUGAAAUUCCGUCGGAAUCCGGGAGGACCAUCUCCCAAGGCUAAAUACUCCCUAGUGACCGAUAGUGAACCAGUACCGUGAGGGAAAGGUGAAAAGCACCCCGGAAGGGGAGUGAAACAGUUCCUGAAACCGUGUGCCUACAAUUAGUCAAAGCCCGUUAACGGGUAAUGGCGUGCCUUUUGUAGAAUGAACCGGCGAGUUACGUUUGCUUGCGAGGUUAAGAUGAAAAGUCGGAGCCGUAGCGAAAGCGAGUCUGAACAGGGCGAAUGAGUAAGCAGAUGUAGACCCGAAACCAAGUGACCUACCCAUGACCAGGUUGAAGGUGUGGUGAAACACACUGGAGGACCGAACCCAUGUAUGUUGAAAAAUGCUGGGAUGAGUUGUGGGU
rnacentral:rRNA from 2 species